GAUGAAGAACGUAGCGAAAUGCGAUACGUAGUGUGAAUUGCAGAAUUCCGUGAACCAUCGAGUUUUUGAACGCAAAUUGCGCCUGAGCUUCGGCAAAGGCAUGUCUGUCUCAGCGUCGGCUCACCCCAUCACCGCCCCGAUUGCGGGCGAUGGAUCUGGCCGUCUGGCUCGCCCUUCAUUGGGCGGCCGGUCGGCUGAAGCGCAGAGGUCACGGCCGGUCCCAUCAAAGGGCAUCAGCUAGGUAGGCUGCCGACAGGCUGCAUACCGCUGGUCACCCGGAAUUGGCCAUUCUUGACCGGCAGGAAUGCGCCCGGUACAGGGCGCAGAGCACUCUCAUUUCGACCUGAGAUCAGGCAAGACUACCUGCUGAACUUAAGCAUAUCAAUAAGCGGAGGA
rnacentral:misc_RNA from 1 species